GCCAAUAGGGCUGCUAUAGCAGGCUACUUUGAUAUAGUAGUAUUAAAAUUGAAUUUCGUUGGUA
rnacentral:tRNA from 1 species